rnacentral:rRNA from 1 species
GAGGUCAGGCUGAAGACCUUACCGGAUUAGCUGAGAGGUGGUGCAUGGCCGUCGUCAGUUCGUACUGUGAAGCAUCCUGUUAAGUCAGGCAACGAGCGAGACCCACGCCAACAGUUGCCAGCUCGUCCUCCGGGAUGGUGGGGACACUGUUGGGACCGCCUCUGCUAAAGAGGAGGAAGGAAUGGGCAACGGUAGGUCAGCAUGCCCCGAAUUAUCUGGGCUACACGCGGGCUACAAUGGGUGGGACAAUGGGUAUCGACACCGAAAGGUGAAGGCAAUCUCCUAAACCCAUCCGUAGUUCGGAUUGUGGGCUGCAACUCGCCCACAUGAAGCUGGAAUCUGUAGUAAUCGUGUCUCAAAAUGGCACGGUGAAUAUGUCCCUGCUCCUU